rnacentral:lncRNA from 1 species
AUAAUAUUAGAUUAUUACAUGGCAUUUUUCAUAUCGCAUGUAUUAUCAGCCCUAGGUCCAAUAUCAGCCCAAGAGCCGCAUGGCUCGAGGGCUGAUAUUGACCGAGGGCUGAUAAUACAUGCGAUAUGAAAAAUGGCAUGUUAUGAUCUUUUUAUCAUUAUGCUUCAACAAUGGAGAAAAAUAACAUAUUCAUAUAUUGAUCCUUUUUCGUGGUUCACAAAUAGAAGUUCAAAGAGUGAAAAGUUCACGGACGUCGGGCCCCAAAUUAAGUAUAUUCAAUAUGAAAUCUUUCUACCAUAUGCCUCAACAGAGAAGAAAAAUAUUUUAAUAUGGACGAAUCGACAAAAGAAAAACAUAAUUCAACAAUAUAUAUAAUGAACACUGUUGGAAAAAGUCAACUUUUUUUUUAAAGUAACUUUCUAAAUUAUGUUUGAAACUUUCUAAAAAAUCCAUUUUUUUGGGGUUUUUUUUUAGUUUUUUUUUAUAAUUAUUUUUAACAAUAUACUUUCCAGUAUCUAAAUAAUUGUUUUGUACACUACUUUGUAAAUGAUAUUUUUAACCGAAAACGUAGCAUUGAGGUGUAUUUUCCGGAAUUUGCGAGUAUCACGAAUGCCAUGCGAUAACGUUACGGAAAGGCAUGUGAUAACAAUUGAAGCAUGUGAUAAACUUUUCAUAUC